rnacentral:tRNA from 1 species
UCCUUGGUAGUCUAGUGGUUAGGAUUCAGCACUUUCACCACUGAGGCCUAGGUUCAAUCCCUGGUCUGGGAU